CAAUAAUAUUCCUGAACUGUUUGUUCCAAGCAAGGCCAAGUACAGAAUCGGUGUGACUUCCUUCUUUGUAGUUGGUUAACGUCUUAUUUCCUUUCUUCUUCUUCUUCUUCUUCUCAACAAUUCCCCCCAAAACAACAGAUGGCUGCACUUCAUCAAUAAUGUUGAGGUCCCAUAUUUCAAUUGAAGGGUCCAUUGAACCCACAGCUAUAAAAUUUCCUUUUUCUUCCUCCUUAAGUGGACAAUCAAGCCACGCUGUACAAAGGGGAAAUGCUGACAGGACAAUAUCAUGGUGAACAUACAUGUUUGAAUCACCAUCAUCUGAUUCCUCAAGUAUCCAAACCUCAAGGUGACUGAAUUCAUCCUCAUUACGUGCACAAACUAUUACUGCAUCCUUUGGUUUAAUGGUCAUGUCCUCAAGCUCUUCAGAAUCAUCAUCAUCCUUAUCCUUUAGAUAGGGGUCCAUAUCAUUGCUUGGGUAGUAAAGAUCCCCAAGUCCUGUGCUGAAUAGCUCAACGCCUUCAUCCUCAUCAUCAUAACGUUCCAUGUCAAGUUCCUUGAGGCCAUCAGCUAUAUCAUCAAAUUUGGUGGCUGAAUUGUUAUUUUUGGGUGUUCUACCAAGAGCUUCUGCUACAGCUAAUGCAUGGGUUGCUUCAUCAGUCUGCUUGGCAGUAUCAACAUCCAUAUCUUCGUCAUCUGCCUCACUACCACUAUCUUCACGUCUCUCUAAAGCACCGGCCUUUAUAAUCUGUUCAAUUUCCUCCUUGGACGGCGGGUCCGCCACUGCUGGUACAGACUUGGAAACACCUUUGGGCACCCAUGAAACUGCGGCUAUCAUCCUUACUAAAACUAAAUCGAAUUGUGAGGUGAGGAGAUUUAUUGUGGUUUUUUGAACUAAAGAGAUUUAGGGAACGAAACAGGGCAGCUACCUCCAAUCUAAGAUGUCUUAUGCUAAAACCCUAAACCUAGGAUG
rnacentral:misc_RNA from 1 species